rnacentral:rRNA from 1 species
CCCUUAGAUGUUCUGGGCCGCACGCGCGCUACACUGACGAUUUCAACAAGUCCUCCCUUGGUCGGAAGGCCUGGGUAAUCUUUUGAAUGAUCGUCGUGAUGGGGAUAGAUUCUUGGAAUUAUUAAUCUUCAACGAGGAAUCUCUAGUAAACGCAAGUCAUCAGCUUGCAUUGAUUACGUCACUGCCCUUUGUACACACCGCCCGUCGCACCUACCGAUUGAAUGGUCCGAUGAAAUCUUCGGACUGCCAAGCGCUGUUGUUCGCAAGAGCGCUUAGCGGAAUGUUGCUUGAAUCUUACCAUUUAGAGGAAGGUGAAGUCGUAACA